rnacentral:tRNA from 1 species
GCCUGGAUAGCUCAGUUGGUUAGAGUGUGAUGCUGAUAAUACUAAGGUUGCAGGUUUGAUCCCCAUAUGGGACA